UUUCAGGAUGAAGUUCCAAGUCCUUUGGAUUUAUCCAUGCUCAGGGCGUUCUCAGAAGCCUGGUGACUCAAGCAGAACUGUCUUUCUAGAAUACUGUUCCCACAUCUGAAGCAACAGCUACAACCUAUAGAGGAAUGAGUCCACAUUGUUUACAAAGCAGAAAACUGAUGGGGGACAGGUGGUGAGAAGGAUCUGUGCGUAGCUGAGAAGGCCAUAACUGACAUGAUCAGAAACUUCUCAUGGAGUACAUAAGUGAACACUUCUGAGCUGCACACCACAGGGGACAUACAAUUCCAAAAAGGGCAGAGACAGAUGGAAGAGUGGAGUUUCAACCUUU